GAACUGAAGAGUUUGAUCCUGGCUCAGAUUGAACGCUGGCGGCAUGCCUUACACAUGCAAGUCGAACGGCAGCACGGGCUUCGGUCUGGUGGCGAGUGGCGAACGGGUGAGUAAUGCAUCGGAACGUACCCGGGAGUGGGGGAUAACUAUCCGAAAGGAUAGCUAAUACCGCAUAUUCUGUGCGCAGGAAAGC
rnacentral:rRNA from 1 species